UGGCAAAGAGACCAUCUGGAGGCCGUGUGUCCCCGUAGAACUGGCACCACCGCUUCCUCCAUCCGAAUAGAACAAUCCCACUCCAGCCGAGCAAAAGCCACUGGAGCAGCAGGUUGCUCAGGCACCAGCAGUUGAACAGAAGGCAGUUCAAGAGCAAACAGUUCACGAUGCUCUGCCACACGAGGCGGAAUAGAAUGCAACCGGCCCCAUCUGAUGUUGUUUCUUCUCCACAAAGAGGGAUGAGGAUGAGAUUAACAUUGUUGCCAAUUUGUAAACACUUUUUGGCCAUUAAUGUUGAAACCUGAAGCAUUUUGGAAGAGCCUGCGUGUAGCCUA
rnacentral:misc_RNA from 1 species